GGAAAUUAUAGGAAGGUUCUCAUUUUAAACCAAGAUGUCUAGUAUCAAACAUUUUUAAAAUAUAGAGGAAAAAAAUUAACCUAACAUAAAUGCUUUUGGGGGGAAAGUGAUGAAGAUGCAAACAUGAAAAACAAAGAAAAGGGAAUGUGAAUACUUCCUGUCACAUUUUGACCGUCUACAUCCAUAGUAUCCUUUUUAGCGAUUGAAAAUGAUCCUUGGGAAGCAUUUGUACUGUCACCUUGCCUUACUCCUCACUGGGCACGUGGCAGAGGCCGUACAAGUGACCACAGUCACCUGAGGC
rnacentral:lncRNA from 1 species